rnacentral:rRNA from 1 species
AACGAACGCUGGCGGCGUGCCUAACACAUGCAAGUCGAACGAGAAAGCCGUAGCAAUACGGUGAGUAAAGUGGCGCACGGGUCAGUAACACGUGGAUAAUCAACCUCCGGGAGGGGCACAACCUGUCGAAAGAUGGGCUAAUACCCCGUAAGACCACGAGAUCCUUGGAUUUUGAGGUAAAAGGUGGCCUCUACUUGUAAGCCAUCGCCUGGAGACGAGUCCGCGCACCAUUAGCUAGUUGGUAGGGUAACGGCCUACCAAGGCCAAGAUGGUUAGCUGGUCUGAGAGGACGACCAGCGACACUGGAACUGAGACACGGUCCAGACUCCUACGGGUGGCAG